UACGUAGGGUCCGAGCGUUGUCCGGAAUUACUGGGCGUAAAGAGCUCGUAGGUGGUUUGUCGCGUUGUUCGUGAAAACUCACAGCUCAACUGUGGGCGUGCGGGCGAUACGGGCAGACUAGAGUACUGCAGGGGAGACUGGAAUUCCUGGUGUAGCGGUGGAAUGCGCAGAUAUCAGGAGGAACACCGAUGGCGAAGGCAGAUCUCUGGGCCGUUACUGACGCUGAGGAGCGAAAGCGUGGGGAGCGAACAGG
rnacentral:rRNA from 1 species